CCGCCCGCAUUCUUCGACGUUAUGGUGCAUCUGCUGGUCCAUAUCGUGGAGGAUAUCAUCCAACUCGGGCCGACGUUCCUGCACAGCAUGAUGACGUUCGAAAGGAUGAAUGGUGUCAUCAAAGGAUACGUUCGCAACAUGUCACGUCUAGAGGGAAGUAUAGCCAGGGGCUUUCUGACCGAAGAGUGCAUCUCCUACUGCACGAAUUAUCUAGGCAUCGAGAACCCCGUUGGUCUGCCCGUCAACAGGCACCUCGGCAGGCUCGCUGGAUGGGGCCACCGUGAGGGUCGCCGCGAAAUGCAUGUCGACUUCGAGGGUCGACUCGCCGACUUUGAAAGAGCAAACCUAGUCGCGCUACAACACAUAGACGUGGUCGAUCCUUGGGUGGUAGAGCACAAAACCUUUAUUGAGAAGACGUACAAUGACCAAGGCCAACAG
rnacentral:rRNA from 1 species